rnacentral:misc_RNA from 1 species
GAAAUGCGAUAAUUAAUGUGAAUUGCAGAAUUCAGUGAAUCAUCGAGUCUUUGAACGCACAUUGCGCCCCCUGGUAUUCCGGGGGGCAUGCCUGUCCGAGCGUCAUUGCUGCCCUCAAGCACGGCUUGUGUGUUGGGCUUCCGUCCCUGGCAACGGGGACGGGCCCAAAAGGCAGUGGCGGCACCAUGUCUGGUCCUCGAGCGUAUGGGGCUUUGUCACCCGCUCCCGUAGGUCCAGCUGGCAGCUAGCCUCGCAACCAAUCUUUUUAACUAGGUUGACCUCGGAUCAGGUAGGGAUACCCGCUGAACUUAAGC